rnacentral:rRNA from 1 species
GUCGAGCGAGAAAGCCCCUUCGGGGGUGAGUAAAGCGGCGGACGGGUGAGUAACGCGUGGAUAAUCUACCUUUGGGUUCGGGAUAACCUGUCGAAAGAUGGGCUAAUACCGGAUACGCUGCGUUUUGCUUAUGCAAGGCGUGGGAAAGAUGGCCUCUGCUGCAAGCCAUUGCCCAAAGAUGAGUCCGCGUCCCAUUAGCUAGUUGGUGGGGUAAUUGCCUACCAAGGCGACGAUGGGUAGCUGGUCUGAGAGGAUGGUCAGCCACACUGGGACUGGAACACGGCCCAGACUCCUACGGGAGGCAGCAGUGGGGAAUCUUGGGCAAUGGGGGAAACCCUGACCCAGCAACGCCGCGUGAGGGAAGAAGGCCUUCGGGUCGUAAACCUCUGUCAGGAGGGAAGAAAAGGCCGCGAUCUAACAGGUUGCGGUUUUGACGGUACCUCCAGAGGAAGCACCGGCUAACUCCGUGCCAGCAGCCGCGGUAACACGGAGGGUGCAAGCGUUAUUCGGAAUUACUGGGCGUAAAGCGCACGUAGGCGGUGCGGUAAGUCAGAUGUGAAAGCCCCGGGCUCAACCUGGGAAUUGCAUUUGAUACUGCCGCGCUAGAGUAAGGUAGAGGGUGGCGGAAUUCCCGGUGUAGGGGUGAAAUCCGUAGAUAUCGGGAGGAACACCAGUGGCGAAGGCGGCCACCUGGGCCUUUACUGACGCUGAGGUGCGAAAGCGUGGGUAGCAAACAGGAUUAGAUACCCUGGUAGUCCACGCCGUAAACUUUGGAUACUAGGUGCUGGGUUUUAAAUUCGGUGCCGUAGCUAACGCGUUAAGUAUCCCGCCUGGGGAGUACGGUCGCAAGGCUGAAACUCAAAGAAAUUGACGGGGGCCCGCACAAGCGGUGGAGUAUGUGGUUUAAUUCGAUGCAACGCGAAGAACCUUACCUGGGCUUGACAUCCCGCGGAUCCCAUAGAAAUAUGGGAGUGCCCUUCGGGGAGCGCGGUGACAGGUGCUGCAUGGCUGUCGUCAGCUCGUGCCGUGAGGUGUUGGGUUAAGUCCCGCAACGAGCGCAACCCCUGUCCAUAGUUGCCAGCACGUGAUGGUGGGCACUCUAUGGAGACUGCCGAGGUUAACUCGGAGGAAGGUGGGGACGACGUCAAGUCAUCAUGGCCCUUACGCCCAGGGCUACACACGUACUACAAUGGUGGGGACAAAGGGUAGCGAGACCGUGAGGUGGAGCAAAUCCCAAAAACCCCAUCGUAGUUCGGAUUGCAGUCUGCAACUCGACUGUAUGAAGUUGGAAUCGCUAGUAAUCGCGGAUCAGAAUGCCGCGGUGAAUACGUUCCCGGGCCUUGUACACACCGCCCGUCACACCACGAAAGUCGGUUCUACCCGAAGCCGCUGAGCCAACUCCGCUUCGGCGGGGGGCAGGCGUCCACGGUAGGGCCGGUAAUUGGGGUGAAGU